rnacentral:rRNA from 1 species
UACGGAGGGUGCAAGCGUUAUCCGGAUUCACUGGGUUUAAAGGGUGCGUAGGUGGGUCUGUAAGUCCGUGGUGAAAUCUCCGAGCUUAACUUGGAAACUGCCAUGGAUACUAUAGGUCUUGAAUACUGUGGAGGUCAGCGGAAUAUGUCAUGUAGCGGUGAAAUGCUUAGAUAUGACAUAGAACACCAAUUGCGAAGGCAGCGGGCUACACAAAUAUUGACACUGAGGCACAAAAGCGUGGGGAUCAAACAGG